GACGUAGGGCGCGAGCGUUGUCCGGAUUUAUUGAGCGUAAAGAGCUCGUAGGCGGCUUGUCGCGUCGACUGUGAAAUCCCAUGGCUUAACUGUGGGUCUGCAGUCGAUACGGGCAGGCUAGAGUUCGGUAGGGGAGACUGGAAUUCCUGGUGUAGCGGUGAAAUGCGCAGAUAUCAGGAGGAACACCGGUGGCGAAGGCGGGUCUCUGGACCAGUUCUGACGCUGAGACGCGAAAGCGUGGGGAGCAAACAGG
rnacentral:rRNA from 1 species